CAUGGCUUUCUUGAGAGGUUGGAAUAGCACCGUUCACAUGCGAUGGGAUGUGUGGGUAUGUUAAUGAUUCCGUCCCCUACAGUUUCUGUUGAAAAGAUACACACCAAAAUCUUUGAAAGCGUAAGGAAAUACUGACAUGAAUAUGGCAAUGUAGCUAUUUUGUUGCACAAUGUAAUUGACAUUUUGACACGAUAGCUUGUUAGGUACUGUUUUAGUUCACAUUUUGGUGAACAGAUCAACAUGAAAUUGUGGUGUGAUGAAAACAUAGAGCGAACGCGAAUGAUGAUAUGUGAAACUAACUGAAUUGUGUCAAGCCACCAUAUAAGGGUAGUUGAGCUCAAACCCAGUGUUCUUAUAUUGUAGAGUUUCAAUUUUAUAUUGGAAAGUCCUAAAUUAGACCAAAGGAAUUCUGUCUGCUAGAAAGAAAAAAAGCGCUUCGGAAUUGAUCUCAUCCUUCAUAAUAUAAUUUUUUUCUUUGUUCAGUUAAUAACUUAACCUUGGAAUAGAACACUUGUUAUAGUAAUUGAAUUAAUAAAUGAAAAGAUUUAGGCAUUAGUUAAUGAAAAGAUUUAGCAUUAGUUUAUGAGGAAUUCUGUAUGGAUAUGUAUUAUAGGAAGGAAUAAUUCCAAGUAUUUUGGAUUGCAAUAGAGAAUUUGAAAUCGUAACUUGAAACAAGAACAAGAAAUUUAAAGCAAUAAUAAAGAAUAAAGAGCCAACCAGAUUAAUAAAACUGAGAAAAUUAAUUCGGAAAGAAUUUUUUUGAAGCUCCAUUGUGGAAUUCAGACCUAACCAUUCAAGGAGUAGUGGGAAUGACCGAACCUCGAUAGGAUUUUAUUGAAAAGAAUCCUAAUACUCCAUUGGUUGGGAUGGCGGAGGAAACCAAAAAAUUGUCUUAUAUUAUCUGUAAUUUCUCUUAGAUUCGAACCCAUAGCUGAUGAUAGAACUAGUAGAUAUCUUUUGUUUUUUACUCACGCGAGCCCAUAUCCUUUCUUUUUCAAUUGCUAAUUCCGAUCUUUCUCCCCAAUCUGAUAUUAUAGUCCCGGACUCCCGGUGUAGAUAGAAAUUCCCUGUUAAUAACCGACCGUUUUGAUUAUUUAGAACAACUCGAUGAAUUUAGUAGAUCCUUUUAGUAUGCGCUCAAUGACCAUAGAUCGAACCUAUCCUAUUUUACAGAGAGUGUCAUUUUUAUGAUGAUCAAACUUGUAAGCAUGUUAGUUUGUGUUCUGGUAUAAUAUCAUGUUGUGUUCUUGAAUUUGGUAUUGUGCUACCACUUCCUUUUAUCUGUGAACUACUUAUAUCUGUGAACUACAUAAUCUUUUAAUUGCAACGGACUAACAUGACAAGGAAGAACUUAUCAGAUGCAGUAGUAGCUUGAAAGAAUUUGCCACACUCCAUUUUUUCAUCCAUGCACACUAAAUUCUUAAUUUACCUUUGUUGGGCCAGUAUGCUAAUAGGAUUCUUUGACUAACCAUAUGAGGUCUCACAAAUUAGUGCUUUUAUGCAAUUGUGUAGUAUAACAUGACAUGAAAUGAUGUUUUCAGACAUGAUGAAGAUUGCUAUGGUUCUAUGAGAAGAAAACCACUUUCCUUCUUUGUCUUAUGAAGAUGUUGCUUUAUAUUCGUGUAGUACUCCCAGCAGCAACAUUGACUCUUCUACACAUGUCCAAAUAAAAAACUGUCUCUUUUACAUGACUAUUGUAGUUAAAGAAAGCUCCAGUUUUAGAAGAUUAAUAAUCUUUAUAGGUUCCAUUGUUUCUUCACUUCUUCAGGUAGACAUUGCAGUGACUGCCAUUUGGAUGGUAGCGCCUAUCAUGAAUCAUAUACUGUAAAUAUAGAAAAACAUUGUACGUUUCCAUAGUUGUACUGGAAUUUAGUGAGUAGCUUAAAUGAACGAUCUGUUGGAUCUUCAGUGACUUCAAAAGAUGCUGCUAGGCUGUUCUGUGUGUUACUUUCAAGUGGCCUGCUGCUUUCUCUUGUCUGCUUUCUUUCUGCACCGCUGCAUUUUGCUUCGCCUAAUUGAUACAUAUGUACUUCUGUGUUAUGAUUGUUAUUUCAAUGGGUCCUCAAUUGGUUAUUCUUAUCGUAGCUACAGAAAUUUUCUACUCAAAAUAGCAUAAAAAAUUCCCUCUACUCGCAGUCAACCGUAGGUUCUACAAUAGUAUGGAGAUCAACUUGCGCACAAGUGUUCCUGGAGCUUACCUGUAUGAAUUUCUCUGCAAUUACACAACUGGAAUGCACCUUUAUUCCUUUUGCCCUUUCCGAAACAACUUAUGGAAGUGGGCCAUUAGGAAUGGAACUU